UACGUAGGGCGCAAGCGUUGUCCGGAAUUAUUGGGCGUAAAGAGCUCGUAGGCGGCCUGUUGCGUCCGCUGUGAAAUCCCGGGGCUUAACCCCGGGCUUGCAGUGGAUACGGGCAGGCUGGAGGCAGGCAGGGGAGAACGGAAUUCCCGGUGUAGCGGUGAGAUGCGCAGAUAUCGGGAGGAACACCGGUGGCGAAGGCGGUUCUCUGGGCCUGUACUGACGCUGAGGAGCGAAAGCGUGGGGAGCGAACAGG
rnacentral:rRNA from 1 species